rnacentral:rRNA from 1 species
AUAGCCUAACGGCUGAACCAGCAACUUGGACGAAUGUAUAGCAAUUGCUAGUUGCACUAAAGUUUUUAGUGUGAGAUCGACUUGGUUGAAUAAAAUUCUGGGUAGAAUUUUGAUAAUGACAAUAUCUGCCCAUGAGUCUUGACCAAAUUACGUGCCAGCAGUCGCGGUAAUACGUAGAAGACAAGUGUUAUUCAUCUUUAAUAGGUUUAAAGGGUACUUAGACGGGAAAUAAAGCCUUAAUAGGGAUACUAGUUUUCUAGAGUUUUAUGUGGAGGAGUAUUAAAGUACUUUUGGUGUAGAGAUAAAAUUCAGUUAUACCUUCAUGGCACGGGUUAAGGCGAAGGCAUCUUCUUAUGUAAAAA